rnacentral:rRNA from 1 species
AUUGAACGCUGGCGGCAUGCUUUACACAUGCAAGUCGAACGGCAGCGCGGGCUUCGGCCUGGCGGCGAGUGGCGAACGGGUGAGUAAUGCAUCGGAACGUGCCCAGUAGUGGGGGAUAGCCCGGCGAAAGCCGGAUUAAUACCGCAUACGACCUGAGGGUGAAAGCGGGGGACCGAAAGGCCUCGCGCUAUUGGAGCGGCCGAUGUCGGAUUAGCUAGUUGGUGGGGUAAAGGCUUACCAAGGCGACGAUCCGUAGCUGGUCUGAGAGGACGACCAGCCACACUGGGACUGAGACACGGCCCAGACUCCUACGGGAGGCGGCAGUGGGGAAUUUUGGACAAUGGGGGCAACCCUGAUCCAGCCAUGCCGCGUGCGGGAAGAAGGCCUUCGGGUUGUAAACCGCUUUUGUUCGGGAAGAAAUCCUCUGGGCUAAUACCCCGGGGGAUGACGGUACCGGAAGAAUAAGCACCGGCUAACUACGUG